rnacentral:rRNA from 1 species
GUAUUGAUGUUAGCGGAACGCUCUGGAAAGUGCGGCCAUAGUGGGUGAUAGCCCUGUACGCGAAAAUCUCUUGUCAAUGAAAUCGAGUAGGACGGAGCACGAGAAACUUUGUCUGAAUAUGGGGGGACCAUCCUCCAAGGCUAAAUACUCCUGACUGACCGAUAGUGAACCAGUACCGUGAGGGAAAGGUGAAAAGCACCCCGACGAGGGGAGUGAAACAGUUCCUGAAACCGGAUACCUACAAACAGUAGGAGGCCAAGGUUCGUCCUGGCUGACUGCGUACCUUUUGUAUAAUG